rnacentral:rRNA from 1 species
GAUGAACGCUGGCGGCGUGCCUAAUACAUGCAAGUAGACCGCUGAAGGAGGAGCUUGCUCUUCUGGAUGAGUUGUGAACGGGUGAGUAACGCGUAGGUAACCUGCCUGGUAGCGGGGGAUAACUAUUGGAAACGAUAGCUAAUACCGCAUGACAACAGUUAUUGCAUGAUAACUGUUUAAAAGGGGCAACUGCUCCACUACCAGAUGGACCUGCGUUGUAUUAGCUAGUUGGUGAGGUAACGGCUCACCAAGGCGACGAUACAUAGCCGACCUGAGAGGGUGAUCGGCCACACUGGGACUGAGACACGGCCCAGACUCCUACGGGAGGCAGCAGUAGGGAAUCUUCGGCAAUGGACGGAAGUCUGACCGAGCAACGCCGCGUGAGUGAAGAAGGUUUUCGGAUCGUAAAGCUCUGUUGUAAGAGAAGAACGAGUGUGAGAGUGGAAAGUUCACACUGUGACGGUAUCUUACCAGAAAGGGACGGCUAACUACGUG